CCUCUCACCCCUUAUAUACCAGUCAAAUACUUUCCUCUUCAAUUUUCAUAUUUCAAUCUGAAAAUCAAGAAUUUAUCUUCUAAAUCUUCAGUCAUCCUCAAAUCUCGGUAUUAAGCUGUGAUUUGGGUUUCAAAAUCCCUAAUUCUCUCCCUUCAGUUGUAAAAUCAGUCGUCCCUUUAAUAUUUCAACAUUCUUGCUUUGUAACCUCUAAUUUCCAUCCGACUCCUUUUCUUUGAUCUUUUUGGUAAGCUUCGAUGGCGGAACAAGAGGAGGAAACGAUGGCAAAAUUUGAAGUGGAUGACAGACCGAUUGGGAGAGAGACGAACAUCAAUCGACCAGGGUCUUCCACCACCUCUCUCACUGCCGCAUCAAGCAGAUAUCGCUCUUCUCAACAUAGGUGACAAUCGAACGACUGGUGACUCAACGGAUGACCAUUGACCCUAACUGCCAUAAGGUGAUGUUAUUAUUUCCAACAAGGCUCUCAUAAAACAAGAUGUAUCCAUGGUCAGUGUUGCUUUCAUAUUCCUGAGCCGAACCAAAUGAAGUUUGAACUGCUGACACUACAUCAACUAUGGUAACUGAAAUUUAAGACUUUGCUUAUGUACUUAUUAUGGUUAUAACUCCAUGAUUUCAGAAAAUUGAUCAAAGUUAGUAUCUUUUUGGUAAAGUUUAAUUUUCAAGGAAAAACUAGGCAUGGUGGUUUGUUUAAAAAGUCAUUAUGUUAAUAUUUUGUUAUAGUUUGUUGAUUCAAUUUGUUUAUUUUCAACUGUACCAACCAUACAAUCUGUUUAAUAUGUGUAUUUUGUUAAGCCGUUUAUGUUUAUUACAUCCUUACUUCUGAACACGGUAAGCAACUUACACUUUUGUUCUCCAUUAUGUAACUGUAAGUUGUCAAUUUAUCUCACUAAGCUUGCCAGUGUUUAUGCUCAAUGAAGCACUUAUUAUGAUAAGCAGAAAUAUCAAUGCAAUAUGGAGAGAAUUAUUAUACAACAGAGAGGAUACACGGUGAAGGCGAAGUUUAAUCACGAUUUGUUGCUGUCGGAUGCUCUAAUUUGGUUGAUUUCCGCUUAGGCAAAAUAUGGACGAUUAUACCCCUGUUUACAAAAUGGUUGGUCUGAAAGAUUGUCAAUAUCAUUGGAUGGUAAUUUGGUGAAUGUUAAAGAUCAUGUUUAAUUUGAAGGCGUUGGAAGUAUCAAUAAAGGUGCUAAUCACCCGAUGAAAGUUUUGGACAAUUUUACCCCAAGGUUAGUAUGGAGCUUUCGUGAAGACAUAGUUUCUACAUGGUUCUAUUUACCAUUAGCAAUUCAUGUUUCUGUUGGGUGUCGAUGGGGAAUCAAAUUGAUAUUAUCACAACCAUGGAAGUACAUUGCUAUUAUUGGGAUAUUUAACUUUAAGUCACAAUAAAGAUGUUGCAAGUUUUAAUG